GCGAGUCUCACGCGCCGAACCCUCUGCUGGCGGCACAUUUCAGUGACAAAGAAUCUUCAAACAGAUUCAACCUGCUCAAUGAAUUCUGUCACUUCAGGGAAAUGACAACUGUUUUCAAGUUGGCCGAUAAAGUCGCUGUGUGUGGGCGAGUGAACAGCAGAACAUUCUACAUGUUUCAGACGUUGACCGGGUGGAAGAGGCUUUUCAAAGAGUUUAAGCGGUACUCCAACCACAAAAGACCCGACUGCAAAAGAAUAGACCUGCAACCCAUUAGUAAACAAACCCACCCGGUGAAUCGAGCCCGUCCAAGCAAGAAGAACAUGUGUUGGAGAUGCAAAUGACGGUGGCCUUAAGGGACAUUUCACACAACAACUCUGCCUGUUCUAAUGACAGCGACCAGAACUCUGUUAGGAGCAGCGGACCAAACGUCUGUGUCGCCGUCUCCAUUAGCGGCUCGUGCAGGUGCCAUCACUUGCCACCUGUACAGGCCAAUCCGACCGCACCUGGGUUCCAGAGGGCAAGCCGGCCAAUCGGCUGAGUGUUUUCAAAGUUCAGGGGUGGCUUUGGCUUGUGUAAUGCUGCUAGGUGUGCAUGUUUGCGGUGCCAUCACUUGCCACCUGUACAGGCUAAUCCGACCGCACCUGGAUUCCAGAGGGCAAGCCGGCCAAUCGGCUGAGUGCUUUCAAAGGAGUGGAGGGGUGGCUUUGGCUUGUGUAAUGUUUACACUGAUACUGCUAGGUGUGCAGGUUUGCGGUGAGAGGUUGAGGACAGUCGGUGAGUUCAGGGUACCUUGUACAUGUGUGCAUUCACGUAGGUAGUGUGUGUCUAGAAACAUUAGACUAUUGGUUGCUGCUCCCUCUGGAUUGUUUUGACAAUAACUUUGCUAGAGAAGCAAGUGAAGCCAUUUUGUUUCUUGGAGGUAUUCCGCCAGGCACAACCACGACUGUCCCAAUCUCUCCCACUUCAUGGGACCUUAUCCCCUGGACCAAGAAGUGGACGUAACAGUUCCUGAAAAGUAAUUUGCAUGAAAACACUCAAACAAUGACGCGGUUAUCAAAUAUAGUUGGCAAGAAAAUGAAAUAUUGAGCUGCUUUGAGUGAGUGGGGCUUGAGUAAUUAUUAUUUGUAUUGUUAUUGAUUACUUUGUAUGUGUGUGUUAGACAUUGUUUUACUCGCAUCAUUUCGCAGAAACAUUGUGAUUUAAAAUGGGGAAAUGCUUUUGUCAAAUGAUGUACUAUACGCACAAUACUCCACGUGGUUAUUUCAUGUAGACUUUAUGUUGCGUGACCCACGUACUCUAUCGUCUUUCGUGCUUUUCACCUCGGGUCGUUUGUCACUUUUAGAGAAGCCAAGAAUUGUUUUUAAAGUUGUUCAUUGAGACCGAAUUCUGCCCACAACUUGUUGAAUAUUGGGAUUUCCUGCUUGGCUUUACUUCACCUCUCUUGUAAAUGUAAUCUCUUCUGUUUCAGACUGUUACAAAGACGCUUCUUUAAGCUCUGGGGAAAGUGAGAUGGGCGUCUUUGACGUCUAACUUUGUUAAGUUGCAGCCGGUUAAGAAUAAACUAUAAGGCCGGGGGUUUGUGGUGGUGGCGGCGGCUCCUGCGGCAGCUCCUCCGGCUCCGGCAGCUCCUCCGGCUCCGGCUGCUCCUGCUGCUCCUGCUGCCUCACCAACGAUUGAGCUCUUUUUAUACCCCUGGUGACUAAUUGGACCGAACCAAUACCAUCUAGAUGUCAGUUUAUCCAUCGCAAAAUUUGGUAUUUCCCAGACCUAUAAAGCGGUGGUCACGGACCUUGGGAACUAUUUUGGCAGAUAUCCAUGGAGAGAGAAGACCUGUUCCAGAGAUCCAUGGGAGGAAGACACCUGAAACAGAUAAGUAGUUGCAAUCCACACACACACCACACCACACACACACACUGUAUGUCUGCAGCCACAUGGGGAAAAAACUUGCAUUUUCUAAUUCUUGGCAUUCCCGUUGGAGUACCCAUGGGCUCAGACAUACACUCUCCAACCAUACAUCCAUACACAAGUUCCUUUACCCCACCACUCACACACAUCUAUAUUCCAUGUCCCUGGAUCACAGACGGUGUGCAGCUGUUGGUCUGGAACUCGCCGAUGGACGUCGAGCUGACUCAACGUGGCGGUGAGAGGACGGAGGAGUGCGUCGAGACUCUGCGGGACAAAGGUGCAGACCAAGGAGGUGGAGUAGCAGCCAUCUUUGACUGGAGCCUUUUAAUAAAUCCUCAACCUUAUUUGUCUCACACCCAACCUGGGAACCAGUUUUGUAGCUCAGGCCCACGUGUUACUCUUUUCUCAGGCUGUUGGAGUGAAAUACAGAGAUGGACAAAAAUACCUGUUUGGAGGGCCAAGUUACCUACACAUGGUUUUUGGCAUGUGGAGUGGAAAACCUAAUGAAUUUCAGUCUAACACACUGAAGAUAUUAAUGAUUGCUUAAUUUCUCUUGUUCAUAUUAAAUUUGAAGUGCAUUUUUAUGUUCACAGCUUCCAAGAAGUUCAGCAUCCCAAAACCUAGAUGUCCAAAUGGUAAGUUUGUUAGUCAUUAAUUGUUUUCUUUUUGUUGCAGGUCAUCCAGUUUGAUCCUGCUGCCACCACCUCAUGAGACCAGGAAAGCUAUCUGCCAGUGAAGUUCAUCAAGAUGGGGACCAGCAUCCUGAUGGAAUUGCAGACAGCCAUACCUGCAUCACUGUCAACUAUGCAUAUGUUUGAAAUGUUUCAUUUGUAUGUAAUAAAAUUCAUUGUUCCAUUUGAA